rnacentral:rRNA from 1 species
GACGAACCGUACGAACGUUAUUCGGAAUUACUGGGCUUAAAGGGUGCGUAGGCUGCGCAGCAAGUUGGGUGUGAAAUCCCUCGGCUUAACCGAGGAACUGCGCCCAAAACUGCUGUGCUCGAGGGAGACAGAGGUGAGCGGAACUUAGGGUGGAGCGGUGAAAUGCGUUGAUAUCCUAAGGAACACCCGUGGCGAAAGCGGCUCACUGGGUCUCUUCUGACGCUGAGGCACGAAAGCUAGGGUAGCGAACGGG